rnacentral:rRNA from 1 species
UGCAGUCGAGCGGACUAUAAAAAGGGGUAACUCUUUUUAUAGUUAGCGGCGAACGGGUGAGUAACACGUGGGUAACCUGCCCUCAGGUGGGGGAUAACUCGGGGAAACCUGAGCUAAUACCCCAUAAGACUACGAGCUGAAAUGCUUGUAGUAAAAGGAGUAAUUCGCCUGAGGAUGGGCCCGCGGCCUAUCAGGUAGUUGGUAGGGUAAUGGCCUACCAAGCCUAUGACGGGUAGCCGAGCUGAGAGGCUGGCCGGCCACACUGGGACUGAGACACGGCCCAGACUCCUACGGGAGGCAGCAGUGGGGAAUAUUGGGCAAUGGGCGAAAGCCUGACCCAGCGACGCCGCGUGGGGGAAGAAGGCCUUCGGGUUGUAAACCCCUUUUGCAGGGGACGACACAGGACGGUACCCUGCGAAUAAGCCACGGCUAACUCUGUGCCAGCAGCCGCGGUAAGACAGAGGUGGCAAGCGUUGCUCGGAUUCACUGGGCUUAAAGGGCGCGUAGGUGGUCUUGUAAGUCAAGGGUGGAAUUUCACAGCUUAACUGUGGAACUGCCUUUGAUACUGCAAGACUUGAGUCAGGUAGAGGAGGGCGGAAUUUCCGGUGUAGCGGUGAAAUGCGUAGAUAUCGGAAGGAAGGCCGGUGGCGAAGGCGGCCCUCUGGGCCUGCACUGACACUGA